rnacentral:misc_RNA from 1 species
GAUGAAGAACGCAGCGAAAUGCGAUAAGUAAUGUGAAUUGCAGAAUUCAGUGAAUCAUCGAAUCUUUGAACGCACAUUGCGCCCGCCAGUAUUCUGGCGGGCAUGCCUGUUCGAGCGUCAUUUCAACCAUCAAGCCCUGCUUGCGUUGGGGUCCUGCGGCUGCCCGCAGGCCCUGAAAACCAGUGGCGGGCUCGCCAGUCACACCGAGCGCAGUAAUACAUCUCGCUUUGGGCGUGCGGCGGGUUCUUGCCGUUAAACACCCCCUUUUUACCAAGGUUGACCUCGGAUCAGGUAGGAAUACCCGCUGAACUUAAGCAUAUCAUAAGCGGAGGA